CCAGCAGCCGCGGUAAUUCCAGCUCCAAAAGUGUAUCUUAAUGUUGUUGCAGUUAAAAAGCUCGUAGUUGAACUUCUGGCGUUGCCGCAGUCCCUUCUGGGACUAUACGGGGGCGUCAUCCGCUUGGAAAGGCAUUCUGUGGGCGACCACGUGUGUCGGAACAGGCAUUUUACUUUGAAGAAAUUAGAGUGUUCCAGGCAGGCCUUUGCUUGAAUAUAUCAGCAUGGAAUAAUGGAAUAGGAUUACUCCUUUGGUUUUAGGAGUUUUAAUGAUUAACAGGGACAGUUGGGGGCAUUCGUAUUCAUUUGUCAGAGGUGAAAUUCUUGGAUUAGAUGAAGACGAAC
rnacentral:rRNA from 1 species